AUGUGUCCAGACGCAUUGCUGGAGGCGCGCAGCGCAACUGUCCAAAUUCGCUGCAGACUGGCAGCCUACAUGGCAGGGGCUGCAGCCUACAUGGCAGGGGCUGCAGCCUACAUGGCAGGGGCUGCAGCCUACAUGGCAGGGGCUGCAGCCUACAUGGCAGGGGCUGCAGCCUACAUGGCAGGGGCUGCAGUUUCACACACAGUCCGGUGUGAGGAUGAAGUGCCAGGCCGAGACAUGUAGGCGUAGCGCAGGGUGGACGGCAUCUACACAGCGCCCAACGACCCGCGGUAAAUCUAAAGGCUACACUUCUGUUCGCAGUACAGUCCAGUCCAGUUCAGCCCUCCACUCUCAUGUGAAGCACAGCCCAGACCAGCUCAGUCCCCUCCCAUUGCUCUCAGCAUUAUCCUAGGAGAGAACCAACAGCUCCUACCAUUGCACAGAAGCACCAGCAGACCCUUGUGUCCUCCUCCCUGUCAGAUAAUCCACUACUGUCAGAAGUCCAAGUAACUCCUAACCUGAAAUGUCUGUUUGAUUGAUUGUUUUUGAAAUUAUUGCAUCAAAUGGAAAUGCCUACAUCAAAGGACAGAGAUUGUUAUGUCAGUCAUGUCUUUUGAAUAAAAGGUCAUUGACAUAAUAUGCUGGGAUUUAUCCGCUUAAUGAUUUGUUGUUUUUACACAUACA